rnacentral:rRNA from 1 species
AACGAACGCUGGCGGCAUGCCUAACACAUGCAAGUCGAACGAGACCUUCGGGUCUAGUGGCGCACGGGUGCGUAACGCGUGGGAACCUGCCCUUAGGUUCGGAAUAACUCCCCGAAAGGGGUGCUAAUACCGGAUAAUGUCUUCGGACCAAAGAUUUAUCGCCUUUGGAUGGUCCCGCGUUGGAUUAGCUAGUUGGUAGGGUAAAAGCCUACCAAGGCGACGAUCCAUAGCUGGUCUGAGAGGAUGAUCAGCCACACUGGGACUGAGACACGGCCCAGACUCCUACGGGAGGCAGCAGUGGGGAAUAUUGGACAAUGGGCGAAAGCCUGAUCCAGCAAUGACGCGUGAGUGAUGAAGGCCUUAGGGUUGUAAAGCUCUUUUACCCGGGAUGAUAAUGACAGUACCGGGAGAAUAAGCUCCGGCUAACUCCGUG